GGGCUCUUCGUUCAAUGGUAGGACAUGUGGCUGGCAGUCAUAGGAUGCGGGUUCGAUUCCCGCAGAGUCCA
rnacentral:tRNA from 1 species